GUCGACGCGAGUGCUCGCUGCGCACUAUACGUUUGCAUUAAUUGUGUUUGUUAUGAACGCGCUUUCUCUAUUCUUUCGGUGUGGGUGCAAUACCUAAACUCAUGCACGUCACCAUGUCACAAGAAAACCUUAACGGCCCGGUCUUAAACGACCUUCCCUCGUCUGGUAAUGUUUCGGAAAAUGACGAAGUAGUAUAUAGAAAACACAGAAACACAGUGAAACAAAUGGUUCUUCGGUUUGAAAGAACCGGUGUACAUCUAGAUGGUUCGUGUGAAUCUUUGGAGAGGCUAAAUAAUCCGUUCUUAGGUAGUUUAACUAGAGUUGUAAGUCCUAUUCCCUCUCAUUUCCAGCAUUUGUGUCCAGUGAAAACGCCACAAGAUAGACAUUCAAAUGUUUCUGUAAAUUCGAUUCUAUCCAAUGUCUCCGAAGGAAGUUAUGAGUCCAGCUCGUCUGGGUUCGUUUCGGAUAGGAAGUCCUCAUCAUUAAAACCUCAUAGGCCAGCUCCACCGCCACCACCUGCAUUUAAUGACAGUUCUUCAAUUGAAAGUAAAUCACCCUUACCUGAAGAAAAGUCAGUUAAAGAAAGACGAUACUCCUUUGCUACUCCUUCUACAUCACCCGUAGCUCAGCGAAGAUCUCGUCAACCACCUGUCAUAAGGAGAAAAUCGUCAAUCGCUAGCCAAGGGCAUGGUGGAGAAACAUUGUGGUCGUAUGGUGUUAGGCAAAGUGAUUUAGAGAAACUAUUAAGACUUAAACUUUCGGAAUCGUCGGAUAAUGAAGACGAAGUAAAACCUAAUGUAAUAGAUACGUCGUCUAGUGGGAGUAGUAGUAGUUGUAGUAGUGAUUCCAAUGAUAGUGAUAAAUUAAAGGAAGGGGAGGAGUAUGUAGUAAGUAAUGAUGAAUGCAAGGCAGAUGCCAUAUCAACUGACCAAUCAACGGAUACAUUAAUGAACGAUUAUGAAAGUGAUGAGGCAGAUAAUUUAUCAGUAACAUCUGCAGAUCCCAGUAAUUUUGACAAUGUUAGCAUUAAAUCGAUAUCAUCGUUUGACAUGGUACCUUACCAAAAGUAUGAUAGCAUUACGGUUUCCUCAGACGAGUUUGGCUCAGAGGUGUGCCAUGCUCCCGACACUGAGUUUCUCACAGUGAGUGCAGUUAACGAGUGGUGUGUAUCAAAGUCCGCGGAACCGGUAUUAUUACCAGUAGAAUCAAAAAAGGAAAAAUAUCGAAGACGAAUGACGGAACGCGUCAAUGAGUUGAUACACACAGAAAACGUGUACGUGGAACGACUCAGGCAUGUGGUGGAGGAUUACAUUCCCGAAAUGUCCCGGGAAGAUAUACCAAUCACGCUUAUGGGUAUGAAAACAGACAUUUUUGCGAACAUUGAACGGAUAUGUCGGUUUCAUGCUGAGGAAUUCCUGCCCGCGUUGAGAGACUGCGAAAAUGAUCUAAGAAAACUUGGACAAUGUUUUCGGAGAUUUGAACAAAAGUUUAAUAUGUAUGUGAUGUAUUCUAGAAAUAAUAAACGAGCAACGAAACUUGUUUACGAACACAAGCAUUUUUUCCAGCGACGACAAUUAGAGUUGGGAGAUAGAUUAGAUCUCUCUAGCUAUCUUUUAGAGCCGGUUCAAAGGAUACCUAGGUAUAAGCUAUUUCUUGACGACCUCGUGAAAACUUACAUCAAUUACGAAAAUGAGAGAUGUGAGUCCGACUCUAGAAUAUCUAAAUUAAGUGUGGAUAGUGACGAGACAGGUGGAAGCAACGGAGAAUCUGAAAGCGAUGAGACGCCUUUAGAAAGUUUAAAACUAGCGAAGACUAUGAUCGAGUGUGUUCUAACAGCGGUUGACGGAAUUAUGGCAUUGGAGAACAUAAGGGACUGCCCUCCACAUUUGAACCUGUUGAAUCAAGGCAGAUUGCUAAGACAGAGUGAGUUCUACGCGAUGGACAACGCGCGCCGGCGGCGACAACUCAUGAGAAUCUUUUUGUUUGACAAAUUGGUGCUCAUUACCACUGUUUAUAGAAAGCAAUUGACAGUCGAGUUCUUUAUAUACAAAGAUCAUAUACCGGUCGAUGAUCUUGGUAUAACGGCAAAAGAGCACGACCAAUACAAAUUCAGCAUUUGGUACAAGCAGAGGAAUCUCAAGUCUUAUAAACUUGAGACUAGGGACCCAGUCAUUCGGAACGGCUGGGUGGAAGAGAUCACCUCACUGCUUUGGGAGCAGGCGAUGCAGAAAAAGGAACUUUUGCUUCAACAACGUAAGAAGAGGAUAUCCAUGGUAUCAAUGGACAGCCAGAACUCAACGGAAACAGAUGGCAAAGAUGACAAAUGUUUUAUAGACUUCGUUUUCGUCAAAAUGCACCAAUAAGUUACUUUGUAGCGAGAAUGCGUGCCUGAGUGACUGCACGUGAGUGAAUCAACAAUUCCCUCCGAGGCGUGCCCGGCGAGGUUCGUUGUUCUGGGGACAAGAAAGUUCGCAGAACAACCUGGUAUUGUGAAUGAGGUUAUCUGUGUGGUGCAACUGAAUUACUAAGCCUUUACGAGAGUAAAGUAUUAUACAUUAUUUUGCCAAAGAAUGCUGUCAUUAGCCAAAGUCAACGGGUAGCAGAACGUAUAUAUUCAUUCAGAUAUUACUUACUCAGUAAAAAUGUUUAGCAGUGGAGAUAUAUCGAAUGUGGCAUAGGCAAAAAUUAUAAUCGUCUUACGAAAUUAUGCGCCUUAACUACAUUCCGUUGUCACGCGAAAAACUUUCUUGCAUCAGUACAAAAUGUGCAGAUGUACUCUCAACGUAUUUUCAAAGCAAAAGCCUGUAGCUUCUUCCAAAGAUUAAUUUUAAUCGAUUUGCAAUAAAAGCUCAACUGUACAUUCAAAUAUAUAUUUUUAUUAUAAUACUAAAUGCUAGUGUGAUGUAUUUAAGAAGAGUCAUAACAGU